rnacentral:lncRNA from 1 species
UGAAAACAUCCCUCAUACUGUGGUAAACUCAGAUGAUGACCUCCCAAACUAUUUGCCAUCUCAAGUUUUGCUUCAAUGUCUUCCUUAGAAACAUUGAUGAUCCUUCCAUCCAUAGCUAACUUUUGCAAUGCCUUCUACAUCUAUGUAAACUCCAUACUCAUCUGGUGACAUUACACGGAUCUUCCUUCUAUGUGGAUUUGCGGCUUCAACCAAGAAACUCUCUCGGAACUCUACACUCGCAGGAGUGUCAACCAAUGCUUCUGGUUCGAUGUCCCUCGCCGUCA